GACGAACGCUGGCGGCGUGCUUAACACAUGCAAGUCGAACGAAGUGGCGAACGGGUGAGUAACGCGUAAUCAACCUGCCCUUCAGAGGGGGACAACAGUUGGAAACGACUGCUAAUACCGCAUACUGAAGGGGUGGCUUGAGGCUGCUUAGCUAGUUGGGGGGGUAACGGCCCACCAAGGCGAUGAUGAGUAGCCGGGCUGAGAGGAUGAACGGCCACAUUGGGACUGAGACAUGGCCCAGACUCCUACGGGAAGCAGCAGUGGGGAAACUUCCGCAAUGGACCAAAGUCUGACGGAGCAACGCCGCGUGAGUGAUGACGGCCUUCGGGGUGUAAAGCUCUGUUAAUCGGGACGCGGUACCGGAAUAGAAAGCCACGGCUAACUACGUGCCAGCCGCCGCGGUAAUAC
rnacentral:rRNA from 1 species